AACGAACGCUGGCGGCAUGCCUAACACAUGCCAGUCGAACGAGACCUUCGGGUCUAGUGGCGCACGGGUGCGUAACGCGUGGGAACCUGCCCUUAGGUUCGGAAUAACUCCCCGAAAGGGGUGCUAAUACCGGAUAAUGUCUUCGGACCAAAGAUUUAUCGCCUUUGGAUGGGCCCGCGUUGGAUUAGCUAGUUGGUAGGGUAAAAGCCUACCAAGGCGACGAUCCAUAGCUGGUCUGAGAGGAUGAUCAGCCACACUGGGACUGAGACACAGCCCAGACUCCUACGGGAGGCAGCAGUGGGGAAUAUUGGACAAUGGGCGAAAGCCUGAUCCAGCAAUGCCGCGUGAGUGAUGAAGGCCUUAGGGUUGUAAAGCUCUUUUACCCGGGAUGAUAAUGACAGUACCGGGAGAAUAAGCUCCGGCUAACUCCGUG
rnacentral:rRNA from 1 species